GAGCACGUAGGUGGGUUUGUAAGUCAGAUGUGAAAGCCUUCUGUUCAACGGAAGAAUUGCAUCUGAAACUGCGAGUCUUGAGUGUAGGAGGGGAGAAUGGAAUUUCUGGUGGAGCGGUGAAAUGCGUAGAUAUCAGAAGGAACGCCGGCGGCGAAAGCGAUUCUCUGGCCUAUUACUGACACUCAGUGUGCGAAAGCUAGGGGAGCAAACGGGAUUAGAUACCCCGGUAGUCCUAGCCGUAAACGAUGGGCACUAAGUAGAGGGGUUUU
rnacentral:rRNA from 1 species